AGUGAACGCUGGCGGUAGGCCUAACACAUGCAAGUCGAACGGCAGCACAGUAAGAGCUUGCUCUUACGGGUGGCGAGUGGCGGACGGGUGAGGAAUACAUCGGAAUCUACUUUUUCGUGGGGGAUAACGUAGGGAAACUUACGCUAAUACCGCAUACGACCUACGGGUGAAAGCAGGGAUCUUCGGACCUUGCGCGAUUGCAUGAGCCGAUGUCGGAUUAGCUAGUUGGCGGGGUAAAGGCCCACCAAGGCGACGAUCCGUAGCUGGUCUGAGAGGAUGAUCAGCCACACUGGAACUGAGACACGGUCCAGACUCCUACGGGAGGCAGCAGUGGGGAAUAUUGGACAAUGGGCGCAAGCCUGAUCCAGCCAUACCGCGUGGGUGAAGAAGGCCUUCGGGUUGUAAAGCCCUUUUGUUGGGAAAGAAAAGCAGCAGGUUAAUACCCCGCUGUUCUGACGGUACCCAAAGAAUAAGCACCGGCUAACUUCGUG
rnacentral:rRNA from 1 species